GGGGGAUAUUGCGCAAUGGGGGCAACCCUGACGCAGCAACGCCGCGUGAAGGAUGAAGGUUUUCGGAUUGUAAACUUCUUUUAUUAAGGACGAAAAAUGACGGUACUUAAUGAAUAAGCUCCGGCUAACUACGUGCCAGCAGCCGCGGUAAUACGUAGGGAGCAAGCGUUGUCCGGAUUUACUGGGUGUAAAGGGUGCGUAGGCGGCUUUGCAAGUCAGAUGUGAAAUCUAUGGGCUCAACCCAUAAACUGCAUUUGAAACUGUAGAGCUUGAGUGAAGUAGAGGCAGGCGGAAUUCCCCGUGUAGCGGUGAAAUGCGUAGAGAUGGGGAGGAACACCAGUGGCGAAGGCGGCCUGCUGGGCUUUAACUGACGCUGAGGCACGAAAGCGUGGGUAGCAAACAGGAUUAGAUACCCUGGUAGUCCACGCUGUAAACGAUGAUUACUAGGUGUGGGGGGUCUGACCCCUUCCGUGCCGGAGUUAACACAAUAAGUAAUCCACCUGGGGAGUACGGCCGCAAGGUUGAAACUCAAAGGAAUUGACGGGGGCCCGCACAAGCAGUGGAGUAUGUGGUUUAAUUCGAAGCAACGCGAAGAACCUUACCAGGUCUUGACAUCCAACUAACGAAGUAGAGAUACAUUAGGUGCCCUUCGGGGAAAGUUGAGACAGGUGGUGCAUGGUUGUCGUCAGCUCGUGUCGUGAGAUGUUGGGUUAAGUCCCGCAACGAGCGCAACCCUUGCUAUUAGUUGCUACGCAAGAGCACUCUAAUAGGACUGCCGUUGACAAAACGGAGGAAGGUGGGGACGACGUCAAAUCAUCAUGCCCCUUAUGACCUGGGCUACACACGUACUACAAUGGAUGUUAACAGAGGGAAGCAAGACAGCGAUGUGGAGCAAACCCCUAAAAACAUUCUCAGUUCGGAUUGCAGGCUGCAACCCGCCUGCAUGAAGAUGGAAUUGCUAGUAAUCGCGGAUCAGCAUGCCGCGGUGAAUACGUUCCCG
rnacentral:rRNA from 1 species